ACCCCAGUAUUAGUACAUACAACUGAACGGUUAUUUUGAAAAUUAAAAAUUAUACAAAUCUGUCUAAAGAAUUCAGUGAGGCAAGAACGACUAUAUAUACUUAAUGAUGAUAUCUACCGCGUUGUUGGACAUAGAAUAGAUGGAGAAGCAGAACUCGUGAACGUCCCGCAGCUUAUUUACAACUUUGCGAAUUAAAAAGCUUGUAAAGUGAAACUUUAACUGUUAUACUUAUUAUAGAUACU